rnacentral:rRNA from 1 species
CCUACGGGAGGCAGCAGUGAGGAAUAUUGGUCAAUGGGCGAAAGCCUGAUGGAGCAACGCCGCGUGCAGGAUGAAGGCCUUCGGGUUGUAAACUGCCUUUAUAAGCGAGAAAUAUGAUGGUAACUUAUGAAUAAGGAGCGGCUAACUACGUGCCAGCAGCGGCGGUCAUACGUAGGCUCCGAGCAUUAUACGGAGUGACUGGGUGUAAAGAGUUGCGUAAGUGGCAUAAUAAGUCGCUAGUGAAAUCUGGUGGCUCAACCAUUCAGACUAUUAGCUAAACUGUUAAGCUCGAGACCGUUAGAGGUAACUGGAAUUUCUAGUGUAGGAGUGAAAUCCGUAGAUAUUAGGAGGAACACCAAUAGCGUAGGCAGGUUACUGGGACGGUUCUGACACUAAGGCACGAAAGCGUAGGGAGCGAACGGGAUUAGAUACCCGAGUAGUC